rnacentral:rRNA from 1 species
CAGCAGCCACGGUAAUACGAAGGGUGCAAGCGUUAAUCGGAAUUACUGGGCGUAAAGCGUGCGUAGGCGGUGAGUUAAGUCUGCUGUGAAAUCCCCGGGCUCAACCUGGGAAUGGCAGUGGAUACUGGCUCGCUAGAGUGUGUCAGAGGAUGGUGGAAUUCCCGGUGUAGCGGUGAAAUGCGCAGAUAUCAGGAGGAACACCGGUGGCGAAGGCGACUAUCUGGGCCAACACUGACACUGAGGCACGAAAGCGUGGGGAGCAAACAGGAUUAGAUACCCCGGUAGUCCCUGUCUCUUAUAC